rnacentral:rRNA from 2 species
CAGUCGAGCGGACAGAUGGGAGCUUGCUCCCUGAUGUUAGCGGCGGACGGGUGAGUAACACGUGGGUAACCUGCCUGUAAGACUGGGAUAACUCCGGGAAACCGGGGCUAAUACCGGAUGGUUGUUUGAACCGCAUGGUUCAGACAUAAAAGGUGGCUUCGGCUACCACUUACAGAUGGACCCGCGGCGCAUUAGCUAGUUGGUGAGGUAACGGCUCACCAAGGCGACGAUGCGUAGCCGACCUGAGAGGGUGAUCGGCCACACUGGGACUGAGACACGGCCCAGACUCCUACGGGAGGCAGCAGUAGGGAAUCUUCCGCAAUGGACGAAAGUCUGACGGAGCAACGCCGCGUGAGUGAUGAAGGUUUUCGGAUCGUAAAGCUCUGUUGUUAGGGAAGAACAAGUGCCGUUCAAAUAGGGCGGCACCUUGACGGUACCUAACCAGAAAGCCACGGCUAACUACGUGCCAGCAGCCGCGGUAAUACGUAGGUGGCAAGCGUUGUCCGGAAUUAUUGGGCGUAAAGGGCUCGCAGGCGGUUUCUUAAGUCUGAUGUGAAAGCCCCCGGCUCAACCGGGGAGGGUCAUUGGAAACUGGGGAACUUGAGUGCAGAAGAGGAGAGUGGAAUUCCACGUGUAGCGGUGAAAUGCGUAGAGAUGUGGAGGAACACCAGUGGCGAAGGCGACUCUCUGGUCUGUAACUGACGCUGAGGAGCGAAAGCGUG